ACGGGUGAGUAACACGUGGGCAAUCUGCCCUGCACUCUGGGACAAGCCCUGGAAACGGGGUCUAAUACCGGAUACGACCUUCGAGCGCAUGCUUGAGGGUGGAAAGCUCCGGCGGUGCAGGAUGAGCCCGCGGCCUAUCAGCUUGUUGGUGGGGUGAUGACCUACCAAGGCGACGACGGGUAGCCGGCCUGAGAGGGCGACCGGCCACACUGGGACUGAGACACGGCCCAGACUCCUACGGGAGGCAGCAGUGGGGAAUAUUGCACAAUGGGCGAAAGCCUGAUGCAGCGACGCCGCGUGAGGGAUGACGGCCUUCGGGUUGUAAACCUCUUUCAGCAGGGAAGAAGCGCAAGUGACGGUACCUGCAGAAGAAGCGCCGGCUAACUACCUGCCAGCAGCCGCGGUAAUACGUAGGGCGCAAGCGUUGUCCGGAAUUAUUGGGCGUAAAGAGCUCGUAGGCGGCUUGUCGCGUCGGAUGUGAAAGCCCGGGGCUUAACCCCGGGUCUGCAUUCGAUACGGGCAGGCUAGAGUUCGGUAGGGGAGAUCGGAAUUCCUGGUGUAGCGGUGAAAUGCGCAGAUAUCAGGAGGAACACCGGUGGCGAAGGCGGAUCUCUGGGCCGAUACUGACGCUGAGGAGCGAAAGCGU
rnacentral:rRNA from 1 species